GUCAUUGUUGGGUAUCGUGGCCAUAUGCAUUAGCAGUCCAGGCAACUAUAAUUUCGCGACCUAACGAAUACUAUACUCUUUGAGUUUAGAGGAAACCUUUCCAGAACAUGGACAUGCUUAAUUUUUGAACUAUGGUUUUUAUAUUUCAUUAUUUAUAAGUGAAGAAGAGUCAAGAUAACCUAGUGGCCUAACCAUAUGUUCUCGUCUAUAUGACGUCUCUUUGGGUACGUUGCAACGUCGCACUAUUGUUCUACACAAAUAUUGGAUCCCAAGUUCCUUCGGCUUACAUCACGAAUAAAUUGUCAUCAACAAAACUUCUAGACGACGUUGCCGAUUUGUCAAAAAAAUUGUAAAUAAAUUAUUCUUAUUAUAAGACGUAUGCGCAAUAUGAAAAAUUGCCUUUUUUUUAAGUUUGUUAUGGUUACUUUAAAUCCAGUAAGAUGGACUUCUGUAUUGCUUGAAUAAUAACUUAAUAAUUAAGGUCUUAAUCUGAUACAACGAACGAAUUUCUAUGCCACUGGUAACCAAAUUAGGGCAAAUAUCGGAAAAGGAAAAUUAGGAAACGUUGCCAAAUAGUAAUAGUUCCUUAAUAUUUCAAGCUUUCUCAUUCUCACAGUUUU